UCUGCCCAAUCGGAGCCUCGGCCGCCUCCCGCCGGCGCCCCGCCCGAAGACAAGAGAGCUCGGGAGAGGGGCAGCCCCACGCGCCCUGGGACAGCGAGCGCCGCGGGGAAGCAAUUCCCGGUCCUAAAUAUUUGCUUCAGCACCAGACACUUUAAUCACAUGAGAUGACUCAGCGAAGUCAACCGCCAGGUCGACCUAAAGCGGUCUCAGCCUAUUUCAGAAAAUACAAAAGAGAAAAUUGGCCGGCCCCUCAGAAGCGUUUAAAUUCUGGGACAGCUUCCAACGUUUUCUGUGCAGCUGUGGUGGAGGCGCAACCUGUUCUGCCUGUCCACAUCUCUAGAUAAACUGCUCAAUGGGUCUGCCCCUAGGCCGGUGCCAACAGUCAACCCAGAUAAACACAUUCUCAUUAAAACAUGAAAGCUAAAAAUAGGAAAA